CUUAGCUGCGCUAGCUCGCGAUUAGCAUGAAAACAUUUACAAAACUCCCAUAAAGCUCAUUUGACCUAAGACAACCCUGUAAAAACGUUGCUAAUAUCUACAACAUACCAGCUUUCCAACAGCACAGAUAUGAUUUUUGAAUACCCUUUGAAAUGUUAAUAUUUCAUCUAAGCCUAUGAUGCAGAAAUGAACAACUUCAGAACCAGGAACGUUAACGUUAGUACUAUGGCACUGUUUUAACAGGAAUCGCAGUCCUAUGGUCUCUAUUUUCACAAAACUGUCGUCUUGCAGAAUGGAAACCAUGCAGAGGUGCCUUGACUGGGCUAGGGGGAGGCUGAUAAAUGUUUCUUCAGCAGAUGAUCUAAUUGAUCAAGUAUCUCAGUUCAUUCAGGAGAUUCGUUCAUCUGGCUGGCAUGCACAACAAGACACUUCAAUCUGUCAAAUGCACCGUUAUAUUCUGACAUGUCAGACUUGGCUCUGGAUGAAAAGAUUAAGGACUUGGUGGCUGGGAACGACAAACUUGGACCGGAAGCUGUUCGAGCACAAUUAGGGGCAUUGGGAAUCCAAUGUGAGGGACAGCAUAAGUCGUGUUAACCUGAGGGCGGCUGCCCUCAGAGCCAUGUCGCAGAGGCUACAUAGAAGGUCAUAACGUGUUGCUGGACAAAACUCGUUAUGGCACCUUGAUGGAAACCUCAAACUGAUAAGGUAGAUGUAUCUUUGUGAUCGACACAAUUAUCUAUAUCACUGGUGAGAAGUUGUACAUUAUAACAUCUCAAAUUGUUCAUCAACAACUAACAGUUCAGUUUAGCAAGCAGUGGCCCAAUAUAUCAAUCAUGUGGAUAAUAAUUGUUUUAUUGUGUUUCGGCUACUUCUGUGAUCGAUAGAAUAUCUGCAUCAUGAAAUUAACAAACAUGCCUAUAUUGAGGACAUACUGAGGCAAAAAACGGUUGGAACAAAGUAUUUGUGCCUAAGUGUGAACAACAGGAGAGUCUGUCCUCUUCACUCAAUUAACUUGAUUCAUUAACAUUGUUCCACAUUUUGGAUGUUAAUUUAAUAUCGGGUCUGCUGCUUUGUUAUAUACUGCAGGAACCUGAUGCAGCAUCUAAGUGGUAAAGGAGGAUGGUGAUGUUUGUAUAUUUCAUGUGUUCAGCUUUUGUAUCAACCAGUGCUGUGUUUUCUGAUUUAGGUGGAGGAUAGUUAUACAUGGUGGCAUUGAUCGGUACAGCUGCCUUGUGUUUCUUCGUGCUUCCAGCAACAAUCGCAGCAGUACUGUAAUGCAUUGCUUCAUGAAUGCUGUCUCCAGAUAUGGCGUUCCCUCCAGAGUUAGGACGGACCAUGGAGGAGAAAACAACACUGUCUGCAUGUUGAAUGUAAUACAUAUUGAAAAUAUUUAAAAAAAAAAAAAUAGAGCUACAUGCAUCCUUAAAAUGACGUCUUGACCUACACAUUGAUUACAUUCUAUAGUGAGGGAUGCAUGCAGCUACAUUUUUUUUCUGUAAAUCAUUUUCAGAACGCAAUCACAAUUAUGUUUGACAGCUUUAUUGCUUUCUCUAUGUUUUUGAAAUGUAUAAGCCUUUAAAUGACCUUUUACUGACUAUUUCUACAAAUGAGGCUAUACUUGUGGCAGCACCUAUUCCUGUGACACCGCUUCUUAUGGCCCCCCUCCACCUAUACCACUUCCUGUGGCCUCCCCUCCACCAUUCCCUGAAGCUUAUCGUCCACCACACUCUUCUGUUGAUGUUGGUGAUGACAAUGAGUAAGUCAUCCCUGUAAAUAAUUAAAUGUCUUGUUAUUACAGAUGAAUUGUGGGAAGUAUCUGAGCUUUGUUAUUCUGAAUGUCUCUUUUAGUGUUGACCUCCAAACACUUAAGUUAAUGAGAUGCCAACCAAAUUAACAUGAGGGACAACGUUUAUGAUUGUGCAAUGAGAGGCUUUAAGAGAGCCCACUUUAAUCCGGAGGCAAAAAUAGACAUGGUUUAGGGAUGCUGAUGGAAAAGGGGUAGCUGAUGAGGGUGGUUCCUCAAGAGAAAUUCUCUGGCUGCUAAUGAGUGCCAUCCAUUCCUCUGCAAUAUUUGAGGGACCUGAUUGACAAAAAAGGCCUUUCUUGCAACUCAAGCAACAUGGGGGUGUAGAGCCACAUUUUUUCAGAGGCUAUACAGACAAGUGUGACCUACAACCUCCUGUGCCAGAACUGAAAGAAAUUGCGGAAUAUGACUUCAGAGAGAAGUUGGAGAAGGUAAGUACUUUAUACUGUGGAUGUUGUGUUACUGUUAAUUUGCACAUAAGUUGGCAGUCAAUCUUUAAGAGCAGUGAUAGUCAGUUUAUUGUUUUGCUAAUUUGUCCCAAAACACUGUUUAUUGAACUAAGAUCCAGUUAGCACAAACUUUUGACGAGGCACAGGAAGUGGUCAUGUUGGGUCCAGUGUGAUACAUUCGUACAUUGGAGAGGGAUGCUCUGGUGGAGUCAGCCACAAAGUUCUACUUAGAAAGCAGGAUACGGGAUGCUCUUGAGAUCCCUUAGAUAUGGAAACACUACUCAAGUUUAAAUUCUUCAGGGCAAAUUCAGAUGUAUUUUUACUUUAUAGAUUCAAAGAGGGUCUGGAGUGUUUGUCUCAUGCCUUACAUGAAUAGACACUCAAGCCUCUUCAGAGGUUAUCUACGCUGAGAAACCUCUUUUGGCCAAAGACAUAGCUUCUCUUUUCAAAGCAGAGCGCUCCCCACCUGGUACCAAUCAAAGAGCAAUAAAGAGAGAAGAGUCAUAUGUUUCUGGAGGGACUGACUUCUGGAGGUGGAAGGUUAGAUGCAAAACCAUGAUCAUUGAAGUAACACGGCCCACAUCAGUAAAACAUCACCUAAUCACUCUCACAACUGUGGGACAGCAUUAUUCCUCCAGCCUUAUACUUCCAUGGGCCCCCUAAGAAUGUAAUCAAUUAAAUCCCAAACUACUUUCACUUAAGAGUAUUGUGUUAAACAAGUUACUUAUGGACUUUAAUGUCCCCCACUUUCCUUUUUUUCAGGGGGAACACAUACCCUUUAACCAUGGAGAAGGUUUUCAUUUUCACUUCGGGGGCUUCAGCAUUCCUAGGGUGGGAUUGCCAGUGGAGCCACAGCUACAGUUCUCUGCAACCGCACGGCAAGCUGUACCUAGAGCACCAAGUCUAGGUCCAAGAGGCUUCUAAACAGAUUCUACCCCCAAGCCAUAAGACUACUGAACAUCUAAUCAAAUGGCUACCCAGACUAUUUGCUGAUACUCUAUCUAUGCAUAGUCACUACAAUAUCUCUACUGUUGCGCCCUGACCAUAAAGAGACAUUGUUUCUCUAUGGUGAAGUAGGUCAGGGUGUGACUGGGGAUGAUCUAGUUCAUUUAUUUCUGUGGUGUUCUAGUUUAUUUUCCAUGGUGGUGAUUUGUAUGAUUCCCAAUUAGAGGCAGCUGGUAAUUGUUGUCUCUAAUUGGGGAUCAUAUUUAAGUAGUUGUUUUUCCUACCUGUGUUUGUGGGAUAUUAUUUUGUGCAUCACUUAGUCCCGUUUCUUUAUUGUUUUGCUUAAGUUUCACUUAGAAAUAAAGAUGUGGAACUCAACCUCCGCUGCGCCUUGGUUCGUCUCUACACACUAUCGUGACAUCUACCUACAUGUAUAUAUUAACUUGACUAACCAGUGCCCCUGCACAUUCUGUACCGGUAUCCCCUGUAUAUAGGCUCACUAUUUUACUGAUGGUCUUUAAUUAUUUACUUUUCUUGACACUGCAUUGCUGGUUAAGGGCUUGUAAGUAAUUUAAUUAAUUCAUUUACUUCGCAUUUCAU